rnacentral:lncRNA from 1 species
CUCGAGAAGCCUGUGUACAGAUCUUUGUUCCACAAGAUACCUACUGAGUGGUUAGAAGCACAAGGCAGCCAACAGUUCAUCAUAGCCAGCCUCCUGAUCCGUGCUGCCACCGUGAACGACCCUGCAUUAAGUUACAAAUCUCUGCAGCUCACAAAGCCGAUCUGCAGAUGCCUAGCAAGGGACUCGGCCCCUCACGUGCUGGGCCACGUAGCUUGGAUCCCCAGGCUUAAUUUCUUCAUCUUUUGGCUCCUUCUCCACCUUCGUAAGGCUGUGAAGGUCUCCUCUUUGCUGCCGAGCACGGGAUGCAGAGCUGCCCAAGUCAGUUCACCACCGGAGCUCUCAGAUUCCUGCUUCUGCUACCAUGCUGGCUAUUAG